UCAAUCUUCUUCGCAGAUUUCUGCUGCCGUUCAACACUCCGUCACACAUCCUCCACUCACGGCUUUGUUAUUCGCUCUCUUCAACACAGAACCUUCGAUGAACACCGCUUGCCUCGAUUAUGUAUCGUAAGCGGAAAGAUAUCUGGUGCCUCUUCAAAUUUGACGAAGAUGAAUAGAAGACCAGAAGCUUUGAUCUCCAGGUAUGAUGUGUACCUUGAUUACUCAAUGUUUCUUCUUCUUCUUUGUGUUAGUUAUUCCGAUGUGAUGAAGAAGAAAAUUGAUGUUGACUUUGUUAAUGCAGCAAUUAUUGUUAUUGUGUUAGAGUUGUUCUGGAUGCAGAUCACUGACUUGAUUCAAGAAGAUCGAUGA
rnacentral:lncRNA from 1 species